rnacentral:rRNA from 1 species
CUACGGGGCGCUGCAGUGGGGAAUAUUGGACAAUGGGGGCAACCCUGAUCCAGCGAUGCCGCGUGUGCGAUGAAGGCCUGCGGGUUGUAAAGCACUUUUAGUGGGGACAAAAUACUCAAAGCUAAUAACUUUGAGGGUUGAUUUAACCCAAAGAAAAAGCACCGGCUAACUCUGUGCCAGCAGCCGCGGUAAUACAGAGGGUGCAAGCGUUAAUCGGAGUUGACUGGGCGUAAAGGGCGCGUAGGCGGAUUUUUAAGUCGGGUGUGAAAUCCCUGGGCUCAACCUAGGAAUUGCAUUCGAUAGUGGAAGUAUCGAGUAUGGUAGAGGAAGGCAGAAUUCCCGGUGUAGUGGUAAAAUACGUAGAUAUCGGGAAGAACACCAAUGGCGAAGGCAGCCUUCUGGACCAAUACUGACGCUGAGGCGCGAAAGCGUGGGGAGCAAACAGGAUUAGAUACCCGGGUAGUC